rnacentral:rRNA from 1 species
GCAAGUCGAGCGAUUUACUUCGGUAAAGAGCGGCGGACGGGUGAGUAACGCGUGGGUAAUCUGCCUCAUACACAUGGAUAACAUACCGAAAGGUAUGCUAAUACAGGAUAAUAUAAGAGAUUCACAUGGAUUUCUUAUCAAAGCUCCGGCGGUAUGAGAUGGACCCGCGUCUGAUUAGCUAGUUGGUAAGGUAAUGGCUUACCAAGGCGACGAUCAGUAGCCGACCUGAGAGGGUGAUCGGCCACAUUGGAACUGAGACACGGUCCAAACUCCUACGGGAGGCAGCAGUGGGGAAUAUUGCACAAUGGGCGAAAGCCUGAUGCAGCAACGCCGCGUGAGUGAUGAAGGCCUUCGGGUCGUAAAACUCUGUCCUCAAGGAAGAUAAUGACGGUACUUGAGGAGGAAGCCCCGGCUAACUACGUGCCAGCAGCCGCGGUAAUACGUAGGGGGCUAGCGUUAUCCGGAUUUACUGGGCGUAAAGGGUGCGUAGGUGGUUUUUUAAGUCAGGAGUGAAAGGCUACGGCUCAACCGUAGUAAGCUCUUGAAACUGGGAAACUUGAGUGCAGGAGAGGAAAGUGGAAUUCCUAGUGUAGCGGUGAAAUGCGUAGAUAUCGGAAGGAACACCAGUGGCGAAGGCGACUGCCUGGACUGAUACUGACACUGAGGUGCGAAAGCGUGGGUAGCAAACAGGAUUAGAUACCCUGGUAGUCCACGCCGUAAACGAUGUCAACUAGCCGUUGGGGGACUUGAU